UGUCUGUGUGUCUGGUGAGUCUCCAUAUUCUGUAAUAUAUAAAAUUAAAGAUCAUUUUUAGAGUUUGACCACUUUGAGCCUUGUGUCUUUUUUGGCCGUAAAGAAUACAAAGAACUGGGAUUUAAUACGCCUCUGCACAAAAAAGUUAAUCAGCACCAGAACCACAAUGAAAGUUUAACUGAACAGGAGUUUUUCAACAGCAACAGAGAACUUACAGGGGAGAAGACUUCAAAACUUGACUUUCUACAAUGAAACUCUAGAGAGGCUAUUUCAGACAAUAACACCAAUUGCAGAUAUUGGAGAACCUCGUCCUGAUCACUGCAGGAGUUGCGCCGUGGUGGGGAAUUCUGGAAAUUUGAGAAGAUCGCAUUAUGGACCUCUGAUUGAUUCCCAUGAUAUCGUAAUAAGAAUGAAUCGGGGGCGUACCAAAGGCUAUGAAACAGAUGUUGGAACCAAAACAACUCAUCAUGUCAUGUAUCCAGAGAGUUCUAUUAGACUGGACAACACCACUCAUCUCUUGUUUUUUCCUUUCAAAACAAGUGACUUUUUGUGGCUCAUGAAGGACUUAAAUCAAGGG